rnacentral:rRNA from 1 species
ACUCAAAGGAAUUGACGGGGAGGCGCACAAGCAGUGGAGCGUGUGGUUUAAUUCGAUACUAAGCGAUAACCUCACCAGGGUUUGACAUGUACUUGCUAAGCCUAUGAAAGUAGGCCUCCUUCGAGGGUAGUACACAGAUGCUGCAUGGCUGUCGUCAGUUCGUGGCGUGAGCUGUUAGGUUUAGUCCUGAAACGAACGCAACCCGCACCGUAUGUUAAAUAAUUCAUGCGGAACUGCCCCUAUUUUAGGGGAGGAAGGCGCGGAUGAUGUCAAGUCAGCACGGCUCUUACACCCUGGGCUACACACACCCUACAAUGGCGAAUAACAACGAGCUGCAAGCAGGUAACUGCAAGCUAACCUCUAAAAUUUCGCCCCAGUUCAGAUUGAGGGCUGCAAUUCGCCCUCAUGAAGUCGGAAUUGCUAGUAAUCGCGAAUCAGCAGGUCGCGGUGAAUACGUUCUCGCCUCUUGUACACACCGCCCGU